rnacentral:ncRNA from 17 species
AUCUAUAGAUGUUUAUUUAUAGACAUGGUGCUAACAGUGGGCUACUCCCGUAGCAGAAGUUAGAUCGGCCAUCACACCUGCUGAUGUUAUUCCAGUCGGUAGCUCUGUG